GGGAGACACAGCAUUCCCAUCUUUCAGGAAGAGGAUCAGAGCUUGCCAUCUGCUUCUCUUUCUCUCUCACCUCAAGUAGGAAUAUUACAAAAUGGCUGCCUUGAAACUGGUAAACUGUUUGAAGAUUUUUCCAAAGUCAAGUGUUCAGAAAGAUGAGAUUUAGACAGGAAUUCUCGAGCAGAUUUUCAUCAUGGUUAGAAAAAGAGCGCUUCAAAAUCUGUAAACAU